AUACGGUGAUGAUGCCAAACACUGUGGUUUCAACUCACUGAUUUUAGGUGAAGACUCCUUACCUUGGCUGUGUCUGAGUAU
rfam:Xenopus laevis strain J chromosome 5L, whole genome shotgun sequence.